GGAAAUGCUUUACGUCCAUUCGAGGCAAAACAAUAUUUUAACAUAAAUUACCACAAAAUUAACUACAUUUUUGACAGCGGAAACAAUUAAACGAUAUGUCGUAUACAAUCAGAGAUUGAUGGAGCUCAUUGUUCCUCGUUGUGCUGAUAACAAAACCUUGCUCUAAGUAAAUAAGGUGGCCUCCUUCGAUAAAUUUGUGAAUAUAAAGCGAGCGAUCGAACCACCAACAACCACCAGAACGUCUGUUGUUCACACACGACAUCUUGCAUCUCACACAAGAGGUCUCUCUUUCACAGUUUCGAAGAUACAGAAAUGAAGACUUUCGUAUGCUUUGUCCUUCUGUGCUGCAUUAUGGUGAUAAUGCAGGAGCAGUGCAGCGCUACCAAGAAAAUCACACUUGAUGAACCCUAUGAAUGUCUGGAAAGUGAUCGUCCCAGGUUCGGUGAUUGCGACCAAGCCUGUAUCAAGAACAAAUAUACUGUAGGUCACUGCAUCAGAAAAAAAUGUGUUUGUAAUUUAUGGAAAUGAAGCGUCGGUGUGAAAUUAUAACAAUUUGUUAACCGAAUUCUGCGAAGUUAAUUUGUGCAGGAUGACAAAUAAAAUACACUAAAUUUUC